GGACGUUUAGCUCAGCUGGUAGAGCAUUCGCUUGACGUGCGAAGGGUUCACAGGUUCGAGUCCUGUAACGUCCACCA
rnacentral:tRNA from 1 species